CCACCAUGUACAGGCAAGCUGAUGCCCUCUGAGGGUUUCUGGAACAAAGAAGACAAGAAAAUGAACCUGGCCAAGUUCACAAUGGAGACUGACCACCACAUGUGAGUUGAUUUUGCCUCACCAGUUCAGGUCACAGUUCACGGUGGCCCCACGGUGUCCACAGUCAGGAAGCAAAGAGAGAUGGAUGCUUGUGCUCAACCCAACCUCUCCUUUUUAUCCAGCCUUGGAUCACAGCCCACUUCAUGGGUCUCUUAGUCCCACCCUGUGCAUGUUUCCUUCCCUGCCAACUCCGUUAAGAGUUGGGUGGACACAAAGCCAUCAUCAGGCCAGCAGCGGGGAGUCACGGAGUCACAGAGUCGUGAUCCAGUUUGACAAGCUCAUGACUCACUUUCCUGCACUCGUGGACGACCUUUCUCUCACUCUCCUCAUCCUCCCAACUUCCCAGUGAUGGAUGGAGUGUCCAGGAAUGAGUUCUUCUUCCUCUUUACAAGAUGUCACUGGGUUAUCAAGUAUCAUCUGUGCGUGCAUGUGACCGGCACUGGUGUAGCUCUGACCUCCCUCCUGGAACACUCAGACUGGACCUACCUGCCACUUAGAGGUCAGACAGACAUCAAAUGUGGCAUAUUUGAACCCUCAGCUCCAGGCUCUGCCUGGAGCCUUCUCCAUCUGCUGUGGGCGAUCUCAUUCUCCUAGAUUUUCAAGGUUCACCAUCCUUGACUCCUUUGCACCCUCUGGCUUUGCAGAGCUUGGCAGCAAGACUUCAACAGAUAUAUCUUCUAUAAAAUACUGGUCUCUUUCCUCAACCUGUUUGUCUUCUUGUUAUGCUAACAGUGGGAUCGGUACA